CAUAUAUUAGGUAGAUGCAAAAGUUAUUGCGGUUUUUGCCAUUACUUUCAAUGGCAAAAACUGCAAUUACUUUUUUGCACCAACAUACUACAU
rnacentral:miRNA from 10 species